rnacentral:rRNA from 1 species
GACGAACGCUGGCGGCGUGCUUAACACAUGCAAGUCGAACGGAAAGGCCCCUUUGGGGGUACUCGAGUGGCGAACGGGUGAGUAACGCGUGAGUAACCUGCCCUUGACUUCGGGAUAACUUCAGGAAACUGGGGCUAAUACCGGAUAGGAAUCCUUGCUGCAUGGUGGGGGUUGGAAAGCUUCGGCGGUUUUGGAUGGACUCGCGGCUUAUCAGCUUGUUGGUGGGGUAGUGGCUUACCAAGGCUUUGACGGGUAGCCGGCCUGAGAGGGCGACCGGCCACAUUGGGACUGAGAUACGGCCCAGACUCCUACGGGAGGCAGCAGGGGGGAAUAUUGCACAAUGGGCGGAAGCCUGAUGCAGCAACGCCGCGGGCGGGAUGACGGCCUUCGGAUUGUAAACCGCUUUCAGCAGGGGCGAAGCUUGUGGUGACGGUACCUGCAGAAGAAGCACCGGCUAACUACGUG